rnacentral:rRNA from 1 species
ACUACGGGAGGCAGCAGUGGGGAAUAUUGCACAAUGGGGGAAACCCUGAUGCAGCGACGCCGCGUGAGUGAAGAAGGAAUUCGUUAUGUAAAGCUCUAGAAGCAGGGAAGAAAAUGACGGUAACUGAGUAAGAAGACCCGGCUAACUACGUGCCAGCAGCCGAGGUAAUACGUAGGGGGACAGCGUUAUACGGAUUUACUGGGAGUAAAGGGAGCGUAGACGGCAGUGCAAGUCUGGAGUGAAGGGCGGGGGCUCAACCCCCGGACUGCUCUGGAAACUGUACGGCUGGAGUGCAGGAGAGGUCAGUGGAAUUCCUAGUGUAGCGGUGAUAUGCGUAGAUAUUAGGAGGAACACCAGUGGCGAAGGCGGCUUACUGGACUGUAACUGACGUUGAGGCUCGAAAGCGUGGGGAGCAAACAGGAUUAGAUACCCCAGUAGUC